rnacentral:rRNA from 1 species
UGGGGAAUAUUGGACAAUGGGCGCAAGCCUGAUCCAGCCAUGCCGCGUGAGUGAUGAAGGCCCUAGGGUUGUAAAGCUCUUUCACCGGUGAAGAUAAUGACGGUAACCGGAGAAGAAGCCCCGGCUAACUUCGUGCCAGCAGCCGCGGUAAUACGAAGGGGGCUAGCGUUGUUCGGAUUUACUGGGCGUAAAGCGCACGUAGGCGGACUUUUAAGUCAGGGGUGAAAUCCCGGGGCUCAACCCCGGAACUGCCUUUGAUACUAGAAGUCUUGAGUAUGGUAGAGGGGAGUGGAAUUCCGAGUGUAGAAGUGAAAUUCGUAGAUAUUCGGAGGAACACCAGUGGCGAAUGCGGCUCACUGGACCAUUACUGCCGAUGAGGUGCGAAAGCGUGGGGAGCAAACAGG